UACGUAUGGAGCAAGCGUUAUCCGGAUUUACUGGGUGUAAAGGGAGCGCAGGCGGCUUUGCAAGUCUGAUGUGAAAGGCCGGGGCUCAACCCCGGGACUGCAUUGGAAACUGUAAAGCUAGAGUGCCGGAGAGGUAAGCGGAAUUCCUAGUGUAGCGGUGAAAUGCGUAGAUAUCAGGAGGAACACCAGUGGCGAAGGCGGCUUACUGGACGGCAACUGACGCUGAGGCUCGAAAGCGUGGGGAGCAAACAGG
rnacentral:rRNA from 1 species